rnacentral:rRNA from 1 species
GACGAACGCUGGCGGCGUGCUUAACACAUGCAAGUCGAACGGAAAGGCCCCUUUGGGGGUACUCGAGUGGCGCACGGGUGAGUAACACGUGCGUAACCUGCCCUUGACUUCGGGAUAACUUCAGGAAACUGGGGCUAAUACCGGAUAGGAAUCCUUGCUGCAUGGUGGGGGUUGGAAAGCUUCGGCGGUUUUGGAUGGACUCGCGGCUUAUCAGCUUGUUGGUGGGGUAGUGGCUUACCAAGGCUUUGACGGGUAGCCGGCCUGAGAGGGCGACCGGCCACAGUGGGACUGAGAUACGGCCCAGACUCCUACGGGAGGCAGCAGUGGGGAAUGUUGCACAAUGGGCGGAAGCCUGAUGCAGCAACGCCGCGUGCGGGAUGACGGCCUUGGGGUUGUAAACCGCUUGCAGCAGGGGCCAAGCUUGUGGUGACGGUACCUGCAGAAGAAGCACCGGCUAACUACGUG